AUUGAACGCUGGCGGCAUGCUUUACACAUGCAAGUCGAACGGCAGCGCGGGCUUCGGCCUGGCGGCGAGUGGCGAACGGGUGAGUAAUGCAUCGGAACGUGCCCAGUAGUGGGGGAUAGCCCGGCGAAAGCCGGAUUAAUACCGCAUACGACCUGAGGGUGAAAGCGGGGGACUGAAAGGCCUCGCGCUAUUGGAGCGGCCGAUGUCGGAUUAGCUAGUUGGUGGGGUAAAGGCUUACCAAGGCGACGAUCCGUAGCUGGUCUGAGAGGACGACCAGCCACACUGGGACUGAGACACGGCCCAGACUCCUACGGGAGGCAGCAGUGGGGAAUUUUGGACAAUGGGGGCAACCCUGAUCCAGCCAUGCCGCGUGCGGGAAGAAGGCCUUCGGGUUGUAAACCGCUUUUGUUCGGGAAGAAAUCCUCUGGGCUAAUACCCCGGGGGAUGACGGUACCGGAAGAAUAAGCACCGGCUAACUACGUG
rnacentral:rRNA from 1 species